rnacentral:rRNA from 1 species
CAAUAGCGUAUAUUAAAGUUGUUGCAGUUAAAAAGCUCGUAGUUGGAUUUCUGGUCGGAAGCUCCUGUCCUCUGAUGAGCGUACAGGUGCGUCCUACCAUCCUUCUGUUAACCUUUAAGGCUUUCGCGGCUUUCUAGGGGCUCAGAUAUUUUACCUUGAGAAAAUUAGAGUGUUUCAGGCAGGCUAGCGCCGGAAUACAUUAGCAUGGAAUAAUGGAAUAGGACUUUUGCCUCUUCUGUUGGUCAUGAGGCUCGGGUAAUGAUUAAUAGGGAUAGUUGGGGGCAUUAGUACUUAACUGUCAGAGGUGAAAUUCUCGGAUUUGUUAAAGACUAACUUAUGCGAAAGCAUUUGCCAAGGAUGUUUNCAUUAA